rnacentral:lncRNA from 1 species
CUUCCCCUCUUUUUCCCUAAUUUUCCCCUCUUUUUCCUUGCGUUCCCCCUCUUUUUCCUUGAUCCCCCCUCUUUUCCCUCAAUUUCCCCUCUUUUUCCCCCCUUUUCCCCACACUUUUUCCCAUUUCCUCUUUAUUUCCCCCCCCUCCCCCCCCAUUUUCCUUUCCCUUUCCCUUUCCAAUUCCAUCCCUGGGGAAAGAGAGAGCAUGGCUUCCAUUUUCAUGGGCAAAACAGGUUCAAUGAUUCCUCAUGAACUUCCAAAUCAUUCCAGUCCAAAAGCUGCCCUCAAAGGCCUCGUAAAAAAAACUUGGUGUGAUGAUUAAAAAAAUAAACAAGAAAUCAAUUUCUAUAUUAAAAAACAAAAAGGGGAAAAUCAAAAUAAUUCAAAAAUGAAAAAAGAAAAACACAACAAACACAGCAAAAAAAAAUCAAAUAAAAUAGAAAUAAAGGAGAAAUUGGAAGCAAAAUUUCCACCCCCUGCCUGGUUUUGGGGAUCGAAUGCGGAAGAAGUCGAAGGAUUUUGGGGGGUGAGCAGCACCCAUUUGUGGUUGAGGACCGGCACCCAUCCCUGCCUGCUGAGCAGCACCCAAACUGGACCACGAAGCAGCACCCAGCUUCAGCCAAACACCAGCACCCAUCCUUGGGUAACGACCAGCACCCAUCCUUGGGUAACGAGCAGCACCCGUAUUUAGCCAUGAGCAGCACCCAUCUUUGGCUGGUGAUGAGCACCCAUCCUGGAUCAAAGACCAGCACCCAUCCUUGGCCAACGACCAGCACCCAACCUUGGGCAAAAAGCAGCACCCAUAUUUGGCCAACAAGCAGCACCCAUCCUUGGGUAACAACCAGCACCCAUCCUUGGAUAACAACCAGCACCCGUAUUUAGCCAUGAGCAGCACCCAUCUUUGGCCAGUGAGCAGCACCCAUCCUGGACCAGAGACCAGCACCCAUCCUGAGUCAACAACCAGCACCCAUUCUGGACCAAUGACCAGCACCCAUCUUUGGCCAAUGAGCAGCACCCAUCCUUGGGUAACAACCAGCACCCAGCUUCAGCCAAACACCAGCACCCAUCCUUGGGUAACGAGCAGCACCCAUAUUUAGCCAUGAGCAGCACCCAUCUUUGGCUAGUGAGCAGCACCCAUCCUGGACCAGAGACCAGCACCCAUCUUUUGCUAGUGAGCAGCACCCAUCAUGGAUCAAAGACCAGCACCCAUCUUUGG